GUAGCUCAGUGGUAGAGUGUGUGACUAGCAUGCACGAGGUCCUGGGUUCAAUUCCCAGC
rnacentral:tRNA from 1 species